rnacentral:rRNA from 1 species
AUUGAACGCUGGCGGCAUGCUUUACACAUGCAAGUCGAACGGUAACAGGCCGCAAGGUGCUGACGAGUGGCGCACGGGUGAGUAAUGCAUCGGAACGUGCCCAGUCGUGGGGGAUAACCACUCGAAAGAGUAGCUAAUACCGCAUACGAUCUAUGGAUGAAAGCGGGGGACCGUAAGGCCUCGCGCGAUUGGAGCGGCCGAUGUCAGAUUAGGUAGUUGGUGGGGUAAAGGCUCACCAAGCCAACGAUCUGUAGCUGGUCUGAGAGGACGACCAGCCACACUGGGACUGAGACACGGCCCAGACUCCUACGGGAGGCAGCAGUGGGGAAUUUUGGACAAUGGGCGCAAGCCUGAUCCAGCAAUGCCGCGUGCAGGAAGAAGGCCUUCGGGUUGUAAACUGCUUUUGUACGGAACGAAACGGCUCUGGUUAAUACCCGGGGCUAAUGACGGUACCGUAAGAAUAAGCACCGGCUAACUACGUG